rnacentral:rRNA from 1 species
GACGAACGCUGGCGGCGUGCCUAAUACAUGCAAGUUGAGCGCUGAAGGUUGGUACUUGUACCAACUGGAGGAGCAGCGAACGGGUGAGUAACGCGUGGGGAAUCUGCCUUUGAGCGGGGGACAACAUUUGGAAACGAAUGCUAAUACCGCAUAAAAACUUUAAACACAAGUUUUAAGUUUGAAAGAUGCAAUUGCAUCACUCAAAGAUGAUCCCGCGUUGUAUUAGCUAGUUGGUGAGGUAAAGGCUCACCAAGGCGAUGAUACAUAGCCGACCUGAGAGGGUGAUCGGCCACAUUGGGACUGAGACACGGCCCAAACUCCUACGGGAGGCAGCAGUAGGGAAUCUUCGGCAAUGGACGAAAGUCUGACCGAGCAACGCCGCGUGAGUGAAGAAGGUUUUCGGAUCGUAAAACUCUGUUGGUAGAGAAGAACGUUGGUGAGAGUGGAAAGCUCAUCAAGUGACGGUAACUACCCAGAAAGGGACGGCUAACUACGUGCCAGCCGCCGCAGUAA